rnacentral:rRNA from 1 species
AUUGAACGCUGGCGGCAGGCCUAACACAUGCAAGUCGAGCGAGCGGCGGACGGGUGAGUAAUGUAUGGGGACUGCCCGAUAGAGGGGGAUAACUACUGGAAACGGUGGCUAAUACCGCAUAGUAUCGGAUAAGCCAUAUGGGAUUAGCUAGUAAGGGGGGUAAAGGCUCACCUAGGCGACGAUCCGUAGCUGGUCUGAGAGGAUGAGCCGCUACACUGGGACUGAGACACGGCCCAGACUCCUACGGAGGCAGCAGUGGGGAAUUUUGGCCAAUGGGCGCAAGCCUGAUCCAGCCAUGCCGCGUGUAUGAAGAAGGCCUUAGGGUUGUAAAGUACUUUCAGCGGGGAGGCGUUACCCGCAGAAGAAGCUCCGGCUAACUCCGUGCCAGCAGCCGCGGUAAUUC